CUCAACCUGGGAAUGGCAUUCGAUACUGUCCAGCUAGAGUCUGGUAGAGGGAAGUGGAAUUUCCGGUGUAGCGGUGAAAUGCGUAGAUAUCGGAAGGAACACCAGUGGCGAAGGCGACUUCCUGGACCAAGACUGACGCUGAGGUGCGAAAGCGUGGGUAGCAAACAGGAUUAGACACCCUGGUAGUCCACGCCGUAAACGUUGAGAACUAGCCGUUGGACCCAUUUAAGGGUUUAGUGGCGCAGCUAACGCAAUAAGUUCUCCGCCUGGGGAGUACGGCCGCAAGGCUAAAACUCAAAGGAAUUGACGGGGGCCCGCACAAGCGGUGGAGCAUGUGGUUUAAUUCGAUGCAACGCGAAGAACCUUACCUGCCCUUGACAUCCUCGGAACUUGGUAGAGAUACCUUGGUGCCUUCGGGAGCCG
rnacentral:rRNA from 1 species